ACGCACCUGGGUUGUCUCGAGCCUGCGGUAGUGGCCAGAUCCCAGACAUCCGAGUAGAUCCCGUGAAAAGCUUCUUCUUGGUUUCUUCGUACAUUCUGGAUCCACCCCUUUCAUGCAUAUUCCAGACCACAUUUCCACUGGAGCAGUUGAAAUGAGAGAGAUGGGAAUGGGACUCACCCGAACCAGAGGAAUUUUUAUUACAGACCCAUUAACAGAGGUGUCAAAGUCACAGGAACAAGGAUGUGCACCUCAGAAACACAGAGGUCAGUGGAAAAUCAGUUUGCUUCUAUUUGUUUAAAAAAUGGGGGACUUAUGCAUAAAUCUAAGACCUUCUUGAAUCUAACAUUCUAAGACCUGUAUGCCACAGAAAGGAGGGUCUCAGAACGCCGGAGGAUAGUAUUUAAAUCUUAAAUAUCUAUAUUGUUCUCCACAGUUACUGGGUCACCACAUAGCAGGCAUUCAAUAAAAACGUGUUUGUUUACUAAGUAA
rnacentral:lncRNA from 1 species